AUGGCUCAGAUUAAGUCAAGGGUUUUCACCCUUUUCUAAGCCUCCAACCCCGAAUUCCCUAUCUGCCCGAUUCGUUCUGGAGAGUAUCAACAACGCUCAGAGAAUUCACCCGACCAAUUCUCAUCUCAAGCACCAUCUAUUUCUUCAACUAAUGGGAUGUUAGCAGUCCCCAUGAGAAAGAAACUAAUGAGAUGUCAGUGCCUCUGGAAUUAAAGACUUCUCGAACUCAAGCAAUCACUCAACACUGAAGUGGGCUACAGGACGUGACAAGAGAUUCCAAGGUUGAUGAUACUGAGGUUGAAGGGAAGGAUCACAAAGAAUCAGAUGUAUCAAACCCAGAGGAUGAUGUUAAAGAAGCUGAAAGCUAGAUGGGUCUUAUUGUGGAGCAGACAUCAUUUAUGUUUCUUCCUUAAGGAAAGAUGAUUGUAUUGAAUCUCUAUAUGUUGUGUCUGUCUAGUUUUGGAUGCGAACACAACCUUGUUGUCUUACAUUAUGUAGAACUCUUCUGAACCAAAUUAUGUGGAAUUUUGUGUAGUUUUCUAAAUUUGAAGAAGCUUUUGAAGCAA